UACGUAGGGCGCAAGCGUUUGUCCGGAAUCAUUGGGCGUAAAGAGCUCGUAGGCGGCCUGUUGCGUCCGCUGUGAAAUCCCGGGGCUUAACCCCGGGCGUGCAGUGGAUACGGGCUGGCUGGAGGCAGGCAGGGGAGAACGGAAUUCCCGGUGUAGCGGUGAAAUGCGCAGAUAUCGGGAAGAACACCCGUGGCGAAGGCGGCUCUCUGGGACGGUACUGACGCUGAGACGCGAAAGCGUGGGGAGCGAACAGG
rnacentral:rRNA from 1 species